CUACCCUGUUCCUCCUUCGAUCGAACCCUCCUCUCCGUUGGUUUCAACUUUGCUUUCAUUUUUCUCUCUUUCUUUUGAUCAACCAACCCACGUCUCUGCCCCUCUUCCACUCACACUCUCUCUCGGCCACAGAAGCCACAAACUGAAGCCUUUCCCCACUGGAUUCUCGAGUUGCCGUUGGCUGCCAAGUUUGGUCAACCAGUGGAGUCUCUCCACUGGUUUAUUGACCCAGCAAAAUCCACCGAAGCAGCUCGCCCUCUUCUCCACUUCGACUUAUCCCCUCUGCCGCGUGUCUCCUGGUUGUCCGUCCAACGACCGUAAGCAGCUUCAUCUUUGCCGCUUCGUUCUUCUUCAACAUCGCUGCUUGAAGACUCCAACGAAGUAGCUGUCCACGAAGACUGAAACACCCCCAAUCGACAGCUGCAACCCACACAUCCCCAGCAUCUCCUUCGUUCACUGCUCCUUCGUCCAGCAUCGAUCAACCGAAGCGGCACCUCCAGCGAAUUUGGCCCAGCACGUUCAUACGUCUUCAGCCCACAUGAUUUCAGCUCAGUUCGGUUCAACAAGGCCCGUUAACUCCAGUCCAUUUGAGGCCCGUGUCAGCAGCCCAAGAGGUCAGCGAAGCCCUCAGUUUAGCCCAUGCAGAAUUCUAGCCAAACUUAGCCCAAUUUACAAUUGUAUCAGCAGGCCCAGCCCAACUUGGGUUUAGCCCAAAAUCAAGAAUAAACCUUAGCUUGGGCUGAGAUUUAUUGGGCCCAUUUUAGGCCCGGCCCGAGAGUUUGUUGACGCUGCCGAAAAUUAAGAUUUCGACCGCCAUCGUGCCGCCGUUGCAGUGAACCGGUUUCCGCAAUUAACCGGGUCGUCGAGUGGAGGACCUGGAGCUGAGAGAAGGUCAUCGGAAGCAUAGAUCGAAGCUCAGCUGGCGGAGCUCAACCGGUUGGAGCUGGUCACCCACGCACUGUUGUCACCACACACCGCCAUUGCCACGCACCACUGUCGUGUGGGUCGUGGCCUUAGGUGGC